GACGAGGGGUCCAAGCGUUGUUCGGAAUCAUUGGGCGUAAAGCGGGUGUAGGUGGAUUUGUAAGUCAGGAGUGAAAGCCCCAGGCUUAACCUGGGAAGUGCUUUUGAUACUGCAAAUCUUGAAUGUGGGAGAGGAUGGUGGAAUUCCUGGUGUAGUGGUGAAAUACGUAGAUAUCAGGAGGAACUCCGGUGGCGAAGGCGGCCAUCUGGCCCAACAUUGACACUGAGACCCGAAAGCGUGGGGAUCAAACAGG
rnacentral:rRNA from 1 species